AUGCUCCUGAGAAUGACAAAUAACACAUGAGUAAAUCCUGCUCCAAAACCAUAAAACCCAAUUUAAAAAAAAAAAAAGGCAUGCACUUCUAAUCUAAUCUACUGGCAUAGGCAUAUAAAGCAGAAUUAAUUGAUAAACAUAUAAUUAAUUGAUAAAAAUCAUAAAAGCCAUAAACAAAGCCUUUUCAAAAGGUAAUGAAUGAGUAAUCCAAGCAGACAGUGUGAAAGGCCCAUUGCUGCUGUGGGGUCAGACUAAUUUGACUAUCCAUACCCUAGGGUAGAGUUAUUAAAGGAUAAAAGCUUUGAACAUUGUUGCAGAGUUCAAUGAAAAUAAAAACUUUUACUCAACAUAUAGAAGCUCUCAGAAAUGCAAAUGAAGUGUUAGAAUGCAUAAAGAUGGCAAAUAAUUAAAUAUUAUGGUUCUGUUUAACAAACUGCUUCUUUGCAUGCAAUUACUGCAUCCUGGGCUGGUCUGAGAAAGGAGAACAGGAAUAAAGCUCAGAGAAAGGAGCAUGAGCAGAGACCUGCAAGGACAGUUUGCUGAAGGAGGAGUAAAACAGGGAAUUGGGAGUGGGGAAUGGUUUGGGUAAGGGCUGUUUCUCUGGGGUUGGGUUGUGCAUCUCUCUGUAUUUUGCUCUGGUGGGGGUGUGGGGAGGAAAGCACUCGGAUUGUUUCGUUUCCCCAUCUUUGUGUUCCAGUUCUCGUGCCCUGAGCGCCAUACAGAGCACACACACUCCACACCACAGGUCACACACCACGUCCUUUUAGUUCCCCUCCAACAGAAACACUUUGCCCAGCCUGAAACCCUGCUCCCACUUCCCAGCCAUCCUUCCCGACGGCCGCCUGCCCUUCCGUGCUUGCCCAGCCCCGAGUGCUCGUGCUCCCUUCCAGGCCUCCCCGUGCCGCAGGUCACAGUUGACCAUUGCAAGAACAAUAAGGAUUUUUAGGGGCAUUAUGACUGGGUUAGUAAAACACAGCUGCCCCUGAAAGUCCCUCAUUUUUCUUGCUGCCGCUCAGUCCGUCCCUACGAGGGCAGGGUCUGGCAGGGUCCUUUCUCUCCAGCAUGACUGUGCUGUCUCAUGCUGCUGUGCCCAGGAAUACCCAGGAACACCCCAGUCCCAGUGCCCAGGAACACCCCAGUCCCAGUGCCCAGCCCACACGGCAGCAGAAGGUGUGGAAGUGCUUUGUCAUCCCUGUGGGCUCCUCCUCAGCGAAGGCUGGGCUGAGUUUCAGCGUCAUGCCAGAUGGCUCGUCUGUCACUCACUGGGAAUGCCACCAAACAGAGGAGUGCCACCAAACAGAGCCUGGCACAGCUAUCUGCAGGCAGCCCUGGAAUACCCAGCCACCAGGGCAAAAGGCAGGAAUGCCUUGUCCUGCAGAUACUUGUGGUACUGGCUCUCAGGUGAGCACUGCUGCUUUGUCCAGGAGAAGUGGAGCCCCCAGGGCUGACGGACUCUGCACGUCCCACACUCCUGUGUCAUAACCCAUGAUCCUUGGGGCACUCAGAGCUCCCCAGGGCACUCAGAGCUGCUCAGCCACAGCACCCAAGUCCCCAUGGAAGAGCUCACAUCCAUCUGCAGAAGCAGUUGCUUUUAAUUAAUUAAUAAAGCUGGGAUUUUAAUGAGGGAAUUACUACUGAUUUCUCAACAACUUUCAGCUUAAGUAAUAUCUGAAAAAGAUCUAUACAUUUACAGCUCAAAAGGUGCCAGGUAUUUGGCUGGGAAUUUUCAACCUUCAUUCACAAGUCCUCCUGGAAAGCCCAGCCCAGCCCAGCAUGUCCUUCGGGCAAGGAGUAACAUUUCCCUUUUAUUGGAUCUUUGGAUUUCAUGGCAGGGGACCCAACAGAAAGUACAGGCAGAUUCCCACAAUUCUGCUCUGUUGUUUCCCCAUAAACUCUUUUUGUAGAGAGCUGGUGUGGGCCCCAUCCCGUGGUGGGCUUGCAAGGAUCCCUGCAAGCUGCUGCCCUUGAGAGGGACUUUGUGACAUGCCUGAGGGCUUUCAGGAGUUUCAGAGUGUUCAGGAGUUCAGAAAAGCUCUCAGGGUUUUUCUUCUUCCCCCCACCCCCCCUUUGCAGUAAAAACAUCACAUCAUAUCCCUCAGCAAGGGAUUCUUUCCCCAGUUCCUGGUUACAGGCUGUGAAGAACAAAGUGGUUGAGUGUCUCUGAAAUGCUGUGAGGUGAGAUGUGAGUGGCAGCACAGGGAUCUCUGGAGCUGUUCACAUGUGCCAUCUCCAGGGACACACACACAGCUGGUGUGGCCACUCUGAGGCUUGGGGAGUCACACAAUACAGUACACCACCAUACCAGUAUCCUCACCCAUCCCACAGGGGAUGGUUUUCCACGGUAGCAGUCAACCUGGCAUCCAAAAACCCCGGAAACCUUCUCAGAACUGUACAAAGCCACACCUUAUUUUCAUCUAGAAUUUCUUCUAGGGCUUGCAAGUCAAGGGAAAACAAACCCCGUGCCCUGAUCUGGUAAUAAAACAUGAGCCAUGAUUCAGAUCCAAAUAUUAUUUGCCUCUUUGAAAAAGUUACAACAGCAGUAUAAUAAUAAUUUUAAAAAAAGCAGCAGCCCUCUGAAUGCUAAUGACGUUGGUGUCCUAAAUGAAGCAUAAAAGCCAGAGCCUGUGAGAAGCAGAGCAUGAGUCAGAGCGUCAGCAGUCCCACACUGAAAGCAGCACUCACGGCUGCUUCAUUCAUUUAAGGAAUCAAUUCCUUUGUAAUGAGCAUCAAGUAGUUUUUAGGACUAAAAUGAAAAUGAGAUGCAUGCUGUUAUUAUUAUUUUCAAAAGUUCUUUUUUUUUUUUUUUUUCUUGGAUUGACAAUAAACAAGUCUUUGUAGUUGGAAGGAGCCCCAGGCAAGGACCAGGUCCCUGCAGCACUGGCUGCUGUACCAUCAUGGAAGAAAAUCUGAGGAGCCCCUGCCCUAGGGAGACCACAACCUCCCUGGCAGCCAGGACCCCACCAGGAGCAGGCUGAGCACAGCCAGGGCACGGAAAAGCUGGGGCUGUUGCAGAUUGGUGCCUGGGCAGGCUGGCUCACCCGCGAUUUUAUUUUCCUUGCAUUGGGUCACUGGCAGAACCCGGCGAGGAUGGGUGUGUGCUGCUCUAGGGAACAGCCUUCGUGGAGGCUUUACAUGUUCCCUCUUGGACUGCAAAGGCAGCACGAGGCUGUGUGCUACAAGGAGAGGGAAUCCUGCCCAAGCUGCUCUCGGCUCCCUGCUGUCCCAGUUCCACUUCUAGAUAAAGCACAACCAGAUUCUGAUCUUUAGAGCACACAUCUCUGGGUUACACUCAUCCUAACAUGGUGAUUUGGGCCUCUAGUAUUUUCGGUGUGUUGGAUCUGAAACUCAGAAAAUGCGAGAGCAACACAAAACCAAAGCAAAGGUAGAAAAUUACUGCAGUUUCUAGAAUUCUUCCAGCUUUAGUCAUCGAAGGGGAUUGUUAGAAACGGACAAAGGGCUGUUUCCCUUAAUUUUUUUAAGUGUGAAUUUUGUCUUGACAGUUUCCUUUCAGAAACAAAAAUUGAAAACAAAUUGUCCCAUGCACAAAACAAAGGGACAGAUCCUCAGCUGGAAUGGACUGGUAUAACCAAGUGAAUAACACCCACUCACAGGAGAGAUUCUGGGCCUUUUAACAGCAGCUGCCGAUCCUGCUCUGCCCGGACAAGAGCUUCAGCCCCUGGGUUACAUGGCAGCAGUGCUGACUCCAUGUAGCUUGGAAAAGAUGAAGGGCUGCCUUCAGAGCAGCUAAAAACACAGCAGGCCUCCAAGGACUCCGGGACUGUACACUUCCCAAACCUGGAGCUGACUCCAGGUGCAUGAGCCGGCGGACACAACAGCGAGAAAACAACCAUAGCAGCGUGGCCCUGAAACUAAAGAGCUUCUCUGGAGAAAAGCUGGCAGAGCAGCCUUCCAAAAACCAUGGCCGGCGGGGCCGGCUCAGGUUUUUCUCUCAAAACCAAGGCUGAUCACCAUCUUGAAAAUUACAUGGACAGUCCCCAAGAAAAUAUUAACUGUGCAGCACAGAACAAAUGCACAGUGAACUGGGAUCCUUCCCAGCCAGUCCUGCUCCCAGGAGACACUGUGGCACAGCCCAGCUGCACCCUGUGCUUGGGGAAUGCUGUCAGCCAUGAGCCAGUUACCCAGAGCAGCAGCUCCUGGCUUUGGGUCGUGCCAGCACGAAUGGUGACCCUCGCUGGGCUGUCCCUGUGCAGGCCCAAGCGGCUCCAGAGGUGCUGAUGAGAGCUGGGUUCAUUCGUCUCCCUCACCCAGAAGAAAACAAAAAUACACACAUUAGGAAAAUUCGGGAAGUGUCUCCCUUUGCCAAGGAACAGCCAACAUCCAACAUCCCCAUUGCUGCUGUCUCCAGCAGCGAGAGCUGCCCGGCUGAGAUUCCCAUCCACACGGAUCCAGCACAGUCCCCUGGGAGAGCCAGUGCACAGGGGGUGCCCUGGCUGGGACCCCAAAGUGAAGGAACCUGAGCACUGAUGGAAGAGCACCCAUUCUCCAGGGCUGUCAAGGGGUGGGGUUGGCCACGUGUGUUUGACAUUUCCUCUUUCUCUGCAAUCCUCAGUUUGGAGCAUCACUUUUUUCUCCCACUCCCAACAUCAGCAGAGGAGCUGGGAAGCCAGAGUUAUUUUUAGGAGAUGGUACAUUUAGGCCCUGUUAAUCUUGACUGGGUCCCUUUGAAAAUGGCAAGGUUGGAUAAUCAAACACAUUACACAGACUUUCCAUGGAGCUGCUCUGCAAACCAGCCUCCCACUGUUCAGAUACCCAGGAGUCAAUAGUUCCAAGAGGAGCUGUUUGAUGCUGCCCUGGUUUGGCUCACUGUGGUGACCUCACCAGCAUUUAUACACAGAGCCUUGGAGAACAAGCAAAUUAAAGCAGCUGACUUUAAGUAUAUAAAAUAAAACACUUAGUCAUCAACAAGUCUUCUAGAGGCUGCCACAUUACACUGGUCUUGAGUGGCAAGAGCCCAUAACCUGGCUCAGGCUGGCAAAGAAGAGGGUGGCAGUGCUGCCUGGUCAGAUCGCCUGCAUGUGGGCAAAACACACCCAGAGCAACUCAGAAGGGAUCUUGCUGGUGUGAUGACUAACAUACUAAACUGGCUGGCACCAGGACGGGUACAGGAAGGGGAGAACAUGCCAGGGGAGGAGCUGUGGCUGGAAGAGGCUUCGUGGCUCCUAGAAAAUUAACCAGGGCACGGCCAACCAGCUUGGCCACUGCUGUCCUAUUAAAAGUCUCAGCCACCAAAAGAAGGGGGAGGGCACAUCCAAACAGCCUGUUCGUACUGGUCCCUGGUUCAUGCUGUCAGACCGUGUCCAGGACUGGCUGCAGGAGUCCCAGGCCAUGGUUGUACCCGGGACCACGCUCAGCACACGGCCCUGGCUGGUGCAGCUGUGAGCCAAGGCUCUGGCACAGGGCACAGCAGUGCUGGAGAAGCCCACGCAGGCUGGAAGGUGGAGGGAUGGCAAGCAGCAGUGCACAGAUCCCUGCUGGCUCCCAGAGGAGUGUGUUACCACAGAGCUGUGCCUGGACUGAUCACCGACAGGAAAACAGCCACGCUGCUGGCCCCGGCCUGCCAGCACUGCCGUUAGUUCUGAGCCUGCCUAGCUCUGACCAGCAAGGAACAACUGCCCCUUUUAUGCCUCAGGAAACCCCCGCAGGGGAGCCGGGAUGGAGCGGACAGGGCGGCUUCUCGAGGCAGGCGUGUGACCCCCGUGCAGUGCCAGCAUCCCCACGGCAGCAGCACCCACCCCGAGUGCCCCAGGAACACUGACAUGGAACAUGAACGAGCCAAGAGGCUUCAAACCGGAGCAAAGCGUGAGCAAAUCGAUUUUCAACAACCGAGGGAGAGCACAGAGGGUUUGGUUACAAGAGAGGAGGCACGUGCCUCUGGAGGAGCCCUCUUGGAGGAAGAAAACAGAUACAAUAAUUGAUAAACGUUUUGGCUGCUCCUCCUAAAUAAUCCCGUCACAUGCUCUUCCUUGCCAGUACAUUCAUGAAAAGUGCCUAUUUUGGAUACUGGGGCACAACAGAGAAGAGACAGAACCCCACAGUUCCCUGAGAGGUACACUCACUCCUCUCGCAGCACUAGACCUCAAGCUUUUUUUAUUGCUCUCUGCUUAAGAUGUUGGUCUUUUGUUGGAAGUUUACAGCUUUUUUUGAUGGAAAACGCAGUAAAAUCCUCCACAGAAAAUGAAGUUUACAUUACUGGGGAACUCAACCUUAGUGCUGCAGGUGUGGGAGAAUUUACACGACUUUUUCUCUCCUUUCAGCAUUACUUCUCACUGGUAACUCUGAAAUGUUUUUCUAAAGGGACCAGAUUGCCAGGUACAAGUUCAAUAACCACUGGAAGUGCCCACUGGGUUUGGGUCCAACUCUAUAUAUCCAGAAGCUCUUUACAGCUCAUUUGCUGAAUGUAAUUAAUUGAACUAGGCAGGAUUUGGCAACAUGACGCUGAACUAAUGCCCUUAAAAUUGCUGAUAGUUUAGAGCCAUAAGAACAGAUUAGAGAAACCCAGUAAACCCAAUUCACUUGCCAUGGAGAUUGAAAGAAAGGCACAGCAAGGUUCAGAACUGCUGAAUGCUGCAGGAACACUCUGGUGCUGGUGCCUGCGGGUGCUCAGGGCCCGACCACCAGUGACCUGUUACAGGAGCAGCUUCUCACCUGCAAGUUUUACACCUCUCACACCAAAGCCAUCGAGCAAAUCUAAGAGUUCAGUGAAAUCUUGACAGUUAACUGAAAGGGUUAAGUGAAAUAUUAAGCACCUGUGACUCAAAGCUGAUUGUACAAGCUUCCUGGUUAGUGGCAUAAGAGCUGUACGUGGAGGGUGCUUCUCCCAUCCUCAGGUGUAAACUCACCCAGUGAGACACCCCGACCCUGGAGCCACCUCCCCUUUCCUUCUGCCUUGAAAGAAAGUCCAGACCAAGGACCUGCUUUUUACACUGAUGAAGUUUAACCAAACUCCAUCUUAGGAGAAUUAGGAAUCAUUUUGCCAGAUACUUCUAAUGAGACACUUCAAUGAGAAUGAGAUGUUGUCAGUUAAUGCUCUACCAGUGCCCAGAUUUAUGAUUGCUGUUCAAUACUGCAAGGGGUGCACAAGAAAUGCUUGGGAAAAGGGGAAAUUCUGUCCUUCUGAAAAUACUAUUAACAAACAAGAGGUUUCUGGCUGUCAGGUAAUAGCUCAGCAGUGCUGCUUACAUUCAAAGCCAUGCCUGGAAUAGUCAGGUUGUAGCAAAUUUCAUUAAAAGAAAAUCUUUAGUUGCUGUGGAAAUCAUUCUGAUGGGAGAUUAUGUCUGGAGGCUGUAUUGGGGUGUACUGCAUUUCUUUCACCUGCACUGGAGUGUUUCCUUCAGGGUGUGGAUUGACUCAAGGGAGAAAGGAGAGAAGAGAGGAAGAGCUCAGUCACCACAUCGAUCCCAUCAUCUCCUGUGCACUGCACAGGCCACAGGCAGGAGAGGCCCAGGGAGGAUGAGAUCCUGGCCACUGAGCUGGGUCUCUACAGAAAUCCUGCUUUAUAUGUAUUUUUAAGCACCUUAACCCUGCUAGCUGUCUGCAAACAACUAACCCUAAUUUGGCAUUACUGUAACACUGAUAGCUGGCUAAUUAAAAAAAGUUAUGAAAGGUUUGAAAGCGACAAUUUCCAAACAGUUGUGAACAUACUGCUAUGAAAUGAUAGAGUGCUCGUGGCUGUUUGUCUGAAAACAUUACUAGUCACCAAAAUUAGAGCACAGGACAAAUCCUGGGCUGGUGCAGAUCAAGAGAUCUCCACUGGCUUGCAGGAGAUGUUUUAUUUAGCACUGGGCACAGCUGCUGUUUCUUUGGAGAGCUCUAAAUUCAUUCUGCGAUGUAGGCAAUCUACAAGCCCAAAUUAUGUAUUUUAAGAUUAAACUCCUAUCAAAUGUUUAGAAAUUAAA